rnacentral:rRNA from 1 species
AACAUGUUGAACCGCAUGGUUCUACAGUGAAAGACGGUCUUGCUGUCACUUAUAGAUGGACCCGCGCCGUAUUAGCUAGUUGGUGGGGUAACGGCCUACCAAGGCGACGAUACGUAGCCGACCUGAGAGGGUGAUCGGCCACACUGGAACUGAGACACGGUCCAGACUCCUACGGGAGGCAGCAGUAGGGAAUCUUCCGCAAUGGGCGAAAGCCUGACGGAGCAACGCCGCGUGAGUGAUGAAGGUCUUCGGAUCGUAAAGCUCUGUUGUUAGGGAAGAACAAAUGUGUAAGUAACUGUGCACAUCUUGACGGUACCUAACCAGAAAGCCACGGCUAACUACGUGCCAGCAGCCGCGGUAAUACGUAGGUGGCAAGCGUUAUCCGGAAUUAUUGGGCGUAAAGCGCGCGUAGGCGGUUUUUUAAGUCUGAUGUGAAAGCCCACGGCUCAACCGUGGAGGGUCAUUGGAAACUGGAAAACUUGAGUGCAGAAGAGGAAAGUGGAAUUCCAUGUGUAGCGGUGAAAUGCGCAGAGAUAUGGAGGAACACCAGUGGCGAAAGCGGCUUUCUGGUCUGCAACUGACGCUGAUGUGCGAAAGCGUGGGGAUCAAACAGGAUUAGAUACCCUGGUAGUCCACGCCGUAAACGAUGAGUGCUAAGUGUUAAGGGGGUUUCCGCCCCUUAGUGCUGCAGCUAACGCAUUAAGCACUCCGCCUGGGGAGUACGGUCGCAAGACUGAAACUCAAAGGAAUUGACGGGGACCCGCACAAGCGGUGGAGCAUGUGGUUUAAUUCUAAGCAACGCGAAGAACCUUACCAAAUCUUGACAUCCUUUGACCGCUCUAGAGAUAGAGUUUUCCUCUUCGGAGGACAAAAUGACAGGUGGUGCAUGGUUGUCGUCACCUCGUGUCGUGAGAUGUUGGGUUAAGUCCCUCACGACCGCAACCCUUGAA